rnacentral:rRNA from 1 species
AGCAUGUGGUUUAAUUCGAAGCAACGCGAAGAACCUUACCUAGACUUGACAUCUCCUGAAUUACCCGUAACUGGGGAAGCUCUUCGGAGCAGGAAGACAGGUGGUGCAUGGUUGUCGUCAGCUCGUGUCGUGAGAUGUUGGGUUAAGUCCCGCAACGAGCGCAACCCUUAUCGUUAGUUGCUACCAUUAAGUUGAGCACUCUAGCGAGACUGCCCGGGUUAACCGGGAGGAAGGUGGGGAUGACGUCAAAUCAUCAUGCCCCUUAUGUCUAGGGCUACACACGUGCUACAAUGGUGAGGACAAAGAGACGCAAGACCGCGAGGUGGAGCAAAUCUCACAAACCUCAUCCCAGUUCGGAUUGCAGGCUGAAACUCGCCUGCAUGAAGCCGGAGUUGCUAGUAAUCGCGAAUCAGCAUGUCGCGGUGAAUACGUUCCCGGGCCUU